UACAGAGGUGGCAAGCGUUGUUCGGAAUUACUGGGCGUAAAGGGCGCGUAGGCGGUUCGUUAAGUCCUGUGUGAAAUCCCCCGGCUCAACUGGGGAACUGCACAGGAAACUAGCGGGCUUGAGUUCGGGAGAGGGAAGCGGAAUUCCGGGUGUAGCGGUGAAAUUCGUAGAUAUCGGAAGGAACACCAGUGGCGAAGGCGGCCAUCUGGACGGUGACUGACGCUGAGACGCGAAAGCGUGGGGAGCAAACAGG
rnacentral:rRNA from 1 species